AAACCGAAGGAGCCAGACCGCAAGAUCCCUGCAAUAUUAUCAAGGCCAACAGAAAGAACAGUUGUCUGGGGACUGUUACGGGCCACACGCUUCUGGCCAAAGACUCCUCUUCAUGGGUCAUCAUUAUUCCUGGACUGUACAUCCCCAAAUCUGACUCCCUGGCCACCCCUCUUCCUUUCCCUUUCUUCAUCUCCAACAGCACAGUAUUUCACUGUGAAGGCGCUGAAAAGUGGAUACUGUACAAUAAAGUGGAAUGAAAGAGAUUGUGGGGCAAGCGAAAUGAACCACCACCAACCACGCCAAAGGCCGGUCUUCAUCCAAAGAAGUUAGACCAACUGAAAGCAGCACUCGAUGAAAAGCAUCCAGAAUUAGUCAACAGAAAACGCAUAAUCUUCCAUCAGGAUAAGGCAAGGCCACAUGUUUCUUUGAUGACCAGGCAAAAACUGUUACAGCUGGGCUGGGAAGUUCUGAUUCAUCUGCUGUAUUCACCAGACAUUGCACCUUUGGAUUUCCACUUAUUUAGGUCUUUACAAAAUUCUCUUAAUGGAAAAAAAUUUCAGUUCCCUGGAAGACUGUAAAAGGCACCUGGAACAGUUCUUUGCUCAAAAAGAUAAUAAGUUUUGGGAAGAUGGAAUUAAGAAGUUGCCUGAAAAAUGGCAGAAGGUAGUGGAACAAAAGGGUGAAUACGUUGUUCA